rnacentral:misc_RNA from 1 species
UCCAAGAAAAUUUCUUGUUAAGCUACAUUACUUGUAUAGUUUAUAUUAUAUUUUUGGUAUAUCAAAUGUCUUAUUGGAAAUUUUUGGGCUGAAUUUACGAUUCAAUGUGUUAUGCGUACAUUGUGGGGAAUUUUCUAGAAACAGCUGUGGUGGGUUGAAGGAAGUGCAUUUUUCUGUCCUUUCCCAAAGCUUUAGCCUGUAAGAGUAUAUGCUUUCAUGAGCAUUAAGCAGUUUCUGUUUGUGCAGAUGAGUGGAGAAGAUCUAGGUG